rnacentral:rRNA from 1 species
UACGUAGGUGGCAAGCGUUGUCCGGAUUUAUUGGGUUUAAAGGGUGCGUAGGCGGCUUUGUAAGUCAGUGGUGAAAUAUGGCAGCUCAACUGUCAGGGUGCCAUUGAUACUGCGGAGCUUGAGUACAGAUGAGGGAUGCGGAAUUCCAGGUGUAGCGGUGAAAUGCGUAGAUAUCUGGAGGAACACCGGUGGCGAAGGCGGCAUCCUGGACCGGCAUUGACGCUGAGGCGCGGAAAGCCAGGGAGCCAAAGCGGG